rnacentral:rRNA from 1 species
UCGAGCGGUAGAGAGAAGCUUGCUUCUCUUGAGAGCGGCGGACGGGUGAGUAAUGCCUAGGAAUCUGCCUGGUAGUGGGGGAUAACGUUCGGAAACGGACGCUAAUACCGCAUACGUCCUACGGGAGAAAGCAGGGGACCUUCGGGCCUUGCGCUAUCAGAUGAGCCUAGGUCGGAUUAGCUAGUUGGUGGGGUAAUGGCUCACCAAGGCGACGAUCCGUAACUGGUCUGAGAGGAUGAUCAGUCACACUGGAACUGAGACACGGUCCAGACUCCUACGGGAGGCAGCAGUGGGGAAUAUUGGACAAUGGGCGAAAGCCUGAUCCAGCCAUGCCGCGUGUGUGAAGAAGGUCUUCGGAUUGUAAAGCACUUUAAGUUGGGAGGAAGGGUUGUAGAUUAAUACUCUGCAAUUUUGACGUUACCGACAGAAUAAGCACCGGCUAACUCUGUGCCAGCAGCCGCGGUAAUACAGAGGGUGCAAGCGUUAAUCGGAAUUACUGGGCGUAAAGCGCGCGUAGGUGGUUAGUUAAGUUGGAUGUGAAAUCCCCGGGCUCAACCUGGGAACUGCAUUCAAAACUGACUGACUAGAGUAUGGUAGAGGGUGGGUGGAAUUUCCUGUGUAGCGGUGAAAUGCGUAGAUAUAGGAAGGAACACCAGUGGCGAAGGCGACCACCUGGACUGAUACUGACACUGAGGUGCGAAAGCGUGGGGAGCAAACAGGAUUAGAUACCCUGGUAGUCCACGCCGUAAACGAUGUCAACUAGCCGUUGGGAGCCUUGAGCUCUUAGUGGCGCAGCUAACGCAU